UACAGAGACUGCGAGCGUUAUUCGGAUUCACUGGGCGUAAAGGGUGCGCAGGCGGCCAAGUGCGUUAGGCGUGAAAGCCCGGGGCUUAACCCCGGAAUUGCACCUAAAACUACAUGGCUAGAGCAUUGGAGAGGGUAGCAGAAUUCACGGUGUAGCAGUGAAAUGCGUAGAUAUCGUGAGGAAUACCAGAGGCGAAGGCGGCUACCUGGACAAUUGCUGACGCUCAGGCACGAAAGCGUGGGGAGCAAAAGGG
rnacentral:rRNA from 1 species